rfam:Metarhizium acridum CQMa 102 unplaced genomic scaffold Scf_003, whole genome shotgun sequence.
GACACUUUGGCCGAGUGGUUAAGGCGGUGCCCUGCGUAAGUUAUCUCGAUUGACCCAAUCAACGCUAUCUCAUCCGCUAACCCUAAAAAAUAGUAAGGCAUUACAUUCGUGUGCGUAGGUUCGAAUCCUGCAGGUGUCG